rnacentral:rRNA from 1 species
AUUGAACGCUGGCGGCAUGCUUUACACAUGCAAGUCGAACGGUAACAGGCCUUCGGGUGCUGACGAGUGGCGAACGGGUGAGUAAUGCAUCGGAACGUGCCCAGAGGUGGGGGAUAACGCAGCGAAAGCUGUGCUAAUACCGCAUGUGAUCUGAGGAUGAAAGCGGGGGACCAGGCAGCAAUGUUUGGCCUCGCGCCUUUGGAGCGGCCGAUGUCAGAUUAGGUAGUUGGUGGGGUAAAGGCCUACCAAGCCGACGAUCUGUAGCUGGUCUGAGAGGACGACCAGCCACACUGGGACUGAGCAACGGCCCAGACUCCUACGGGAGGCAGCAGUGGGGAAUUUUGGACAAUGGGCGCAAGCCUGAUCCAGCAAUGCCGCGUGCGGGAAGAAGGCCUUCGGGUUGUAAACCGCUUUUGUACGGAACGAAAAGGCUCUGGCUAAUACCUGGGGCUGAUGACGGUACCGUAAGAAUAAGCACCGGCUAACUACGUG